AUUUGUUCACUUUGCCACUGUAGAACAUUGGAAUUCAAAUCCAAAGGUCGUGGGUUCGAAUCCUACCUGGGAUG